rnacentral:SRP_RNA from 1 species
GCUGGGUGCAGUGGUGUACACCUGUAGUCCCAGCUACUUGGGAGGCUAAGGCAAGCAGCUUGCUUGAGCCCAAGCAGUCUGAUCUGAGGUAUGCUAUGUUGAUCAGGUAUCUGCGCUAAAUUCAUCAUCAAUAUGGUUAGCUCCUGGGAGUGAGGGACCAUCAGGUUGCCUGAAAAAGUAUGAACUAGCCUAGGUCUGAAACAAAGCAGACCAAAACUCCCAAGCUGAUUCGUAGUGGGUAGCUCUUGUGAAUUCCACUGUACUCCAGCUCAGGCAACAGCCAUGUCCUAA